rnacentral:lncRNA from 1 species
CAGUGUUGUCUGUUCUCCUUUGUUUUAUCGCGUCAUCAAGUCAUAGUUUGUUUAUUCUGCUGAUUUUUAAUUGCUGAAGUUCUUAAAUUAAGACCAAAGUGGGAAUAGAACUGCAGAUACGUAUCAUACUAAAAUCCACCAUGACAGACGAAUAUGAUGCCAACUAGUUGGAUUAGAUUUGAAAAAAAGUUCUUCUCCUUUCUACAUCUGAUGAAAGCCAUUUUCAGCAAAGGUGGGAAUAGAACUGCAGACGCAUAUACUGAAAUCCACCAUGACAGACGAAUAUGCUGCCAAACUACAGUUGGAUUGGAUUUAAAACUCCUUUCUACAUCUGAUGGAAACCAUUUUUAGACCAAGAGCAGAGAGACUAUGCCUCAUGAAGCUCAAAUCGAGGACGAUAGCAGUUCAAAGUAAAAAUAUAUAAUUAGUUAUAAAUUGAAAGUUCAAUUUUUGUAAUAUUUAAUAAAAAUCAUUGCAUUUUAUUGAAAA